UACGGGGGGGGCAAGCGUUGUUCGGAAUUACUGGGCGUAAAGGGCUCGUAGGCGGCCAACUAAGUCAGACGUGAAAUCCCUCGGCUUAACCGGGGAACUGCGUCUGAUACUGGAUGGCUAGAGUUUGGGAGAGGGAUGCGGAAUUCCAGGUGUAGCGGUGAAAUGCGUAGAUAUCUGGAGGAACACCGGUGGCGAAGGCGGCAUCCUGGACCAACACUGACGCGGAGGAGCGAAAGCCAGGGGAGCAAACGGG
rnacentral:rRNA from 1 species